GACAGAGGAGUCAAGCGUUGUCCGGAUUGACUGGGCGUAAAGCGCACGCAGGCGGAUGCGCGCGUGGGGUGUGAAAUCUGGCCGCUUAACGGCCAGGCGCCAUCCCAUACGGCGCGUCUGGAGUGAUGCAGAGGUCGAUGGAAUUGCCGGUGUAGUGGUGAAAUGCGUAGAGAUCGGCAGGAACACCCAGGGGGAAACCAGUCGACUGGGCAUCUACUGACGCUGAGGUGCGAGAGCGUGGGGAGCGAACCGG
rnacentral:rRNA from 1 species